AACGAACGCUGGCGGCAGGCUUAACACAUGCAAGUCGAGCGCCCCGCAAGGGGAGCGGCAGACGGGUGAGUAACGCGUGGGAACGUACCUUUUGGUUCGGAACAACUCCGGGAAACUGGAGCUAAUACCGGAUAAGCCCUAACGGGGAAAGAUUUAUCGCCGAAAGAUCGGCCCGCGUCUGAUUAGCUAGUUGGUGAGGUAACGGCUCACCAAGGCGACGAUCAGUAGCUGGUCUGAGAGGAUGAUCAGCCACACUGGAACUGAGACAGGGCCCAGACGCGGAAGGGAGGCAGCAGUAGGGAAUCUUCCGCAAUGGGCGAAAGCGGGAAGGAGCAACGGAGCGUGAGUUAUGAAGGUUUUCGGAUCGUAAAAAUCAGUUAUUAGGGAAGAACAAAUGUGUAAGUAACUAUGCACGGCUUGACGGUACCUAAUAAGAAAGCCACGGCUAACUACGUG
rnacentral:rRNA from 1 species